UACGAAGGGGGCUAGCGUUGCUCGGAAUCACUGGGCGUAAAGCGCACGUAGGCGGAUUGUUAAGUCAGGUGUGAAAUCCCGAGGCUCAACCUCGGAACUGCCUUUGAUACUGGGGAUCUCGAGUUCGGGAGAGGUGAGUGGAAUUGCGAGUGUAGAGGUGAAAUUCGUAGAUAUUAGAAAGAACACCAGUGGCGAAGGCGGCUCACUGGCCCGAUACUGACGCUGAGGUGCGAAAGCGUGGGGAGCAAACAGG
rnacentral:rRNA from 1 species